rnacentral:lncRNA from 1 species
AACUGGUUUUUUUUCUGGGGAACUUUCUUUAAUUUCAUUCUUGUUUAUACUAGCUUUUUGUGUUCCUGGCUCUAGCACUCAGAGAGAGGCCUUAGACAGUAAGAAACUUAAGUAGGACAAAAGGUGUGUAGCAAACAUUCACCAAGGGCAGUAAAGGGUCAGUCCGGUUGUCUAAGCACAAGAGCUUUGUCAAGCAGUGCCUUCAGGAUGCUUGGUAUCGCUAGACACCUGCAGUGCCAGAGAACGGACAUUGGGGAUGAGUGACUCCAUAAUGGAUGGAUAAUAAAGGCACCAUGGCAACUGGGUUUUCGCUGGAUAAAUAGUGAAGAGGGACAUUUAACUCAAGAAAGGCGUACAAGGCCAUCCCAGAUAAUAUAGAUAUUCAUCCAUGAAAGAAGAAUGUUAUACUGUUGACGUAGAACAUGGGGAAAGUUCCUUACGACCUUUGCACAAGUAAAGUUUUCUUAAGCAAGACAGAAAUUUAAUGUUCAACUAAACGAAGUCAUCUGAUAGAAUGGAAACUGUUCACUGAGAUACACAAUCAGGAAGGUGAAAUAAGAAUCUCGAAGCUGGCUAAAAGCUUCCUGGAACUCUCUCUGUAGACCAGGCUGGCCUUGAACUCACAAGAUCUACCUGCCUCUGGCUCCGUCUCUGCUGGGGUUCAAGGCUUACACCAUCUUGCCUAGCCUAAAAGGUUUAAUUCUUAGAAGUAAGGCAGAACGGUGGAGUGAGACGUUGGAGAGAUGCCAGUGACUUAGAAUUCGCCCAGGGAUCUAGUCCAGGGCAUGGUGACAGCAAUGGUGCUUAGAAUCAUGAAGUACAGUCUUCUCACACGGAGAAGCAGCCACAGGAAGUACCUGAACACCUUCUGAGGACAUGUCCCUGACUGAGGAUGUGUCUGUCACUAAGCCUCGAGUCUUCAAAAUUCCAUCACUGUCCUGUAUGGCUACCCACAGGGCCAAGUCCCAAAAGAUGAGGUUUUGAAAGAACAAAAGCAACUCAAAUCACAGCAGAGGCCACACAUGGUAUAGCAACAUUCAAACAAACAAAAUUCUACUUCUUUUCUGUUUCUACUACCCAGUCUGUAUGUGGCAGCUUUCGGCAAACAGUCAACAACUUAUAAAUAAAAUACAUGCCUGUAUAGGAUGAGUAGAGUUUGUACAUUCCCUUGACGUGU